rnacentral:lncRNA from 1 species
UGGUUAUGCCGUAAGUGUAUAUGGAUGUUCGCUAUAGUAUUUUUUUGGAUAAAUCAUUCUACUAUUGUCAUGCUGAUAAUUUUCACUUUUUGCAGCCACAAUCUUUUCCUCCAUUCAGCCCUGGUGCUUUCCCGAAAAAUUCCUCGAUCUGUGAACGGCAUCAAAGUAUGUUUAGUAAUGGAAAUCCUCCUCAUAUUUUCGAGUAAUGAAAAACCUCCUCACGAAUGCUCAUCAACCUAAGAAAAGAAAACAAGGAGAAAAUUUGACUUUCGUUGUUGAUGCUAGUUGCGAAUCAAGUAGCAUGGGUCUAUGGUUGAUGCUUAGAGGUCAUACUAUGAUAAUAUAAACUCAUGGUUUCAUUUUGUCUGGAAUGUGUUGGUACCCAAAUUUUUUUCAAUAAUUUAUUAGUUCACUCAUUGUAUGGCUAGGCAAGUUGAUCCUCGAGUAAGGUGGACCUGUAAUAAGUUUUGUUUACGUAAGUGCUCGAGUUAAAAGAUAGAUCAUUUCUUGUUCUAUUUUUUUCUUUAUUUUCCUGUAAAAUUUGAGAAAGACUUACCUGUCUCAUUGGAACACCCUAAGCUUUUUUGGCCUCCUACUCUUUCUUUUUUUUUUUUUUUAAAAAUAAAUCUGUACAGGAUUAUGUUACAGGUGUGCUAGUUUGACCAAAUUAGUGAAAUAAAUAAUUUACAGGAGGCGUGCAGAUACUACCUGAUCGAAAGUGGCCUGGCUUUGAUGGUGGCAUUUCUUAUUAACAUAUCAGUUAUCUCAGUAAGUGGUGCUGUCUGCAAUUCCCCUUCUAUGAGCCCAGAUGAUCGGGAUAAGUGUGAGGACUUAGACUUGAACAAAGCAUCUUUUUUACUCAAAGUAGGUGAUACCACACUGCAAUGUCAUUGCUAUUCAAUUACACAGAACUAUGCUUUUUCAUCCAUUUUAUAAUGUUUUUUAAGUCUUAAUGACACUGCUCUUUUUAUGUUACUACUUACAGAAUGUUUUAGGCAACUGGAGUUCCAAGCUAUUUGCAAUUGCUUUACUAGCAUCAGGGCAGAGUUCGACAAUAACUGGGACGUACGC